rnacentral:rRNA from 1 species
AUGGUGGUGGACGCGCUUGCCGCCAUCCUGGAUAAGGCUAAGGCUGCUGGCCAUAUUCGUGGGAUCACUCCCCACUUGGCUGGCGGCUCCGGGAUCUCCCUCCUCCAGUAUGCCGACGACACCAUCAUCAUGGUCAAAGGCUCGGAGUCAGACAUCUCCAAUCUUAAGUUCCUUCUCCUCUGCUUCCAACAAAUGUCUGGCCUUAAGAUAAACUUCGACAAGAGUGAUGUGAUGGUGAUGGGCUACUCUCCGGCCGAGUCCCUUGCCACUGCCAACCGGCUCAACUGCCGCCUCGGCUCCUUUCCCACGACCUACUUGGGAACGCCCAUUAGCGACUCUCGGCUCACCGUCGCGGACCUACGCCCGACCGUGACCAAGCUUCAAACGCGCAUUGAGCCUUGGCAGGGUAGAUGGUUGUCAAAGGCGGCUCGGACUAUUCUCAUUAAUUCAUCCCUCUCCAGCCUCCUCUUGUUCCUCAUGAGCUUUUACAGCCUUCACGAGACUCUGCACCAUGAGAUCGCCAAAGUCCAGUCUCGUUUUUAUUGGGCAGGCGACAACAAUAAG